AGUGAACGCUGGCGGCGUGUUUUAGGCAUGCAAGUCGAACGCGAUAGUCGCAAGACGUGUAGCGUGGCGAAAGGGUGAGUAAUACGUGAGCAACCUACCUCGAGGAUUGGAAUAACCAUUGGAAACGAUGGAUAAUGCCAAGUGGUCCGCACGGGCGGCAUCGCCUGUUCGGUAAACGGUCGGUUUCGGCCCUCUGCCUUGAGCGGGGCUCACGUCCUAUCAGCUAGUUGGCGGGGUAACGGCCCACCAAGGCGAUGACGGGUAGCCGGACUGAGAGGUUGGCCGGCCACACUGGGACUGAGACACUGCCCAGACUCCUACGGGAGGCUGCAGUCGAGAAUCUUCCGCAAUGGGCGAAAGCCUGACGGGGCGACGCCGCGUGCAGGAUGAAGGCCUUCGGGUUGUAAACUGCUGUUACACUUUACCAACGCUCGGAAGUGAAUAGCUCUCCGAGAAGAGCAAGGUGGUAGAAAGCACAGGCUAACUCCGUG
rnacentral:rRNA from 1 species